rnacentral:misc_RNA from 1 species
UCUCCGUAGGUGAACCUGCGGAGGGAUCAUUACACAAUACAAUAUGAAGGCCGUACGCGGCUGGAUUAUUUUAUUACCCUUGUCUUUUGCGCACUUGUUGUUUCCUGGGCGGGUUCGCCCGCCACCAGGACCACACCAUAAACCUUUUUUUAUGCAGUUGCAAUCAGCGUCAGUACAACAAAUGUAAAUCAUUUACAACUUUCAACAACGGAUCUCUUGGUUCUG